UCAGAUGGUUUCACAUUAAAUAACCUAUUUGACAAAAUUAUUAUAUUUUAUACCCAUUUUUAUUUCCAACGUGUUUUCUUCCAUUAUUUCUCCGCUCCACAAAACUUCAACUUAAAAGUUAAAAUUAUACCUGUUUUAUUGAACCUGUGAGUUUGUUAUUAUCAUCAAUCAGCGGUGGAGGCGGCAGUGGUGGAGAUGGUAGAGACGACAGUGGCGGUGCUAAAAAGUAUACAGGUGCAGAAAAAAAAUGUUCAUGUUCUUCUUCGAAACCAAGUUCCUUGAUUGGGUUUCUCAGAAGGGAUUUGGUACUUUUUGGUUUAUCUUCUUCAUCUCUUGCAUUUCCAUCUUCAGGGCCCUUUGCGGGAAGAUCGAAAAAUGAAUUAAUAGUUGAUGAAACUAUGCUUAUACUUACAUAUCUUGGUGGGUAUGUAGGUGAAAUGACACUAUUAUUGAUGAAUAUUUGAGUCCCUUUCAUAAUAGCUCAAUGGCAAAAACUUAAAAGACAGACUGUAAUUUACAAGUACAAGCAAACUAUAAUUGAUUCAAAUUUUUUUCUAUA